GAUGAACGCUGGCGGUAUGCCUAAUACAUGCAAGUCGAGCGGACGGACCGGAGUCUUGCUUUUCUGGGGUUGGCAGCGGUCGGAAGAUUAACACGUGGAUGACAUACCUACAAGACUGGGAUAACUACAGGAGACGGGCGGUAAUACAAGAUAAUAAUUUGCUCAAGAUGGUUCAGCAGUUAAUGAGGUUCUUGGUGACACUUAUAGAUAGAUCCGCGAUGAAUUAGAUAGUGGCUAAGGUAACGGCUUACCAAGGCAACGAUGCAUAGCCGCCCUGAGAGGGUUAACGGGCAGACCUGAACUGAGGCACGGCCAAGAUGCGUACGGGAGGCAGCAGUAGGGACUACCGCGCGAUGGGCGAAAGACUGACGGGGCAACGCCGCGUGAGUGACGAAGGUCUUCGGAGUGUAAAACGCUGGUACUAGGGAAGAACAUAUGUGUAAGUAACUGUGAACAACAUGACGGUACCUAAUGAGAAAGCCACGGCUAACUACGUG
rnacentral:rRNA from 1 species